AUGUUGAAUAGCACCAUCAACCUUGACAGCUGCGAUUUGCAGUUUCAUCUGAAAAAGGAACUUGCUACUAGAAGAUACUUGAUUGUUCUAGAUGAUCUCUGGGAAGAAGAUGGAAACAAUCUUGAAAGGUUGAAGGAGAUGUUACAGCAUGGCCGCAAGGGUAGCCGUAUUAUAGUAACUACCCGUAACCGAAGCGUAGUGCAACAAUUGCGCACUGGGUUUCUUGCAAAUCAGAGGAAAAUUUGUCCAGUUCCAGAGUCUGACAUGAUCGAUUUGGUUGUUUUAGAACCUGCAGAAUGCUGGGAAUUAAUGAAGCAAAGGGCGUUUGGGCCUGAUGAUGACCACAGUGGCUUGGAAGAAAUUGGAAAGCAGAUUGCAGGCAAGUGUGGGGGUUUACCGCUCGUGGCAAAUGCUCUCGGGCAAGUAAUGUCGGAGCUAAGGACCGUGGGGGCAUGGGAAGAUAUAAGAGACACCAAGGUUGAUUUGGGUUUGAGAGAAGGACAUCAGAAAGAAACAUUAGAGAGGCUAAUGCUGAGCUAUCACCACAUGAAGCUAGAAUUUAAAAUGUGUUUCAUUUACUUGGCAACCUUCCCCAAGGGAUUUGUCAUGGAUAACAAUCAUUUAAUCCAGCAAUGGAAUGCGCUUGGAUAUAUUAAUUCAAGGCAUGAUGGUCAAAGGUGCAUCAACUACCUUUUGGGGAUGUCCUUUCUUCGGAUUCCAGGAUCCGCUCUGGUUGGUUCAAGUCCAUUGCAUUUCAAGGCUCCUCCGGAACUCGUCAUGCAUGAUUUGGUGCAUGAUCUUGCAUCAACAAUUUUUGCUGAUGAAUUCAUCGAUUUGGAUGCUACCAGAAGCACCAGCUGGAACAAAGCUCGUUACUACCGGCAUGCACAAUUAACCAACUUCAAGAAUGAUCCUAAGGUUUUCAAAUAUAUUCCAGGCAAACUUAGAUCCCUCCACUUUAGGGAUUUGGGGGGAAUGAAACUCCCGAAAAAGGCAUUUUCUCGGUGCAAGUACAUACGUGUCUUGGACCUAAGUGGACAUUCAAUGAAUGGCCAAUUAGCUCCAAGUAUCAUGGUGCUGCCAUCUUCCAUUAAUAAAUUGAAGCUAAUUAGAUAUCUUGAUGCCACAGGCUUGCCAAUAACAUCACUUCCUAAGAAUUUUCAUGCACUUCAAAACAUGGAAACUCUUAUUCUAUCCAAUUCCUUGCUCGAAACCUUGCCUGACAGUAUUUGUCGCCUCACCAAACUAUGUUAUUUGGACCUAUCCGGCGGUUGCAACCUAAGUAAGCUACCUGGUUCACUAGGGAAGCUCUCUCAGCUCUUUUUCCUUAAUCUAUGUGGGUGUUCUACACUCCAAGAGUUGCCUGAAUCAAUCUGUGAGCUUACAUGCUUACACCACCUAGACAUGUCAGAUUGUUCUGCUCUUCAAAAGCUGCCUGAAAAUUUUGGUAGCCUUCUUAAACUCUCAUUCUUAAACUUAUCAAGUUGUUCAAAGCUCACCAAACUACCUGACAGUGUUAGCUUUCCGCAUUUAGAACGCCUUAGCCUAUCAAAUUGCCAUGAACUAGGAAACCUGCCAAUUGAUUUCGGCCACCUUCAGAAACUUGAGUUCUUGAACCUCUUUGGUUGCUACAAGGUGUCAAUGCUGCCAGGGUCAUUUUGCCAACUUAAUCAUUUGAAAUACCUAGAUCUUUCAGAUUGUCAUAACCUCGAAGAACUCCCUAAAUGUUUUGGUAACCUCUUCGAGCUUGAAUAUUUGAACCUAACAAGCUGCUCUAAGCUCCGACAAUUGCCAGAGUCAUUAUGCAAAUUGUUUAAGUUGAGAUUUCUCUAUUUGUCAUACUGUCUGCAACUCAGAGGGCUCCCCUCCUCAUUUGGUGACCUUAAGCUUCAAAUACUGCACAUGAGUGGUCUUAUAUUUAUGGAUGAUUGCCCUGAUAGCAUUGGUGACAUGACUAGUCUCACCCAGUUGGUAUCUGAUAUUGCAACUUCCCAUUUGCUUGAAAAGACUCAAGCAAUUCGAAAGCAUCUAAAUCUUAUGGGCACAGUAGUGCAUCAUGUACAUGAGAUAGAGAGUAGAGGAUGUAGCAGUAUAGUGGAUCUUAUGGGGUUGACUUGUUCAGAGCUGAUACUUAUAGGCCUUCAGAAUGUCAGACAUCCAGAAGAUGCAGACAGAGUCAGCCUACGGGAUAAAUCAGAUAUUCGAGUGCUAAAACUUGACUGGCAAAAUGAAGGAGGUAGAUCUGUGCUGGACAGGCUCGUACCUCCUCGGACUCUUGAAAACUUUUGGCUAGUUGGGUAUAGUAGCAAGGAUUUCCCUAACUGGAUAUUUCACACCUCGUCUUACCUCCCUUUUGUCAGCGAACUGACUCUCAGUUGUUUGGAAGCAUGUGAUUGUCUUCCUCCAUUUGGGGCACUACCAAAUUUAAGAAAGCUGUCUCUGGAAUACAUUCCUAACAUUAGGAAAAUCGGUAAGGAAUUCUAUGGAGAGGGUGGACCUUGUAUGAAGCUAAGAGUUCUGGUAUUGACAUUGAUGGAGAAUUUGAUGGAAUGGUGGACAACAGAGUCAGGUGAAGAAACUGAAGAGUUUCUAAUCCCUAUUUUGCAUCAUUUGCAGAUAGUGGAUUGCCCAAAGUUGAAGUUCCUACCAUAUCCCCCAAGAAGUAUGAUUUGGGUUAUGGGCAACAGCGAGACAAUUUUGCCAGAGCAAGGAUUUGGAAAGCACUUGUCUUCCAUUAAUCCUUCUGCGAUGGUUCUAAACAGAUGUAGGUUCUCUCAAGACAAGUGGGAUAGACUUCAACAUUUUCCCACCCUUGAGAUAUUUCAAGUAUCCUUCGUCAGUGGCUUGAGGGCGUUGCCAGAGGUCAUGCAAUGCUUCACCUCUCUCACUGGACUAUAUUUGUGGUCGUUGAAGGACCUGGAGACACUACCAGUAUGGUUGGGCCACCUCGGUUCUCUACAAGUAUUUGAGAUCCAAGAUUGCCCCAACCUGACAUGUUUGCCUGAAAGCAUGAAGAAACUCACCGCUCUUACAGAUCUGACGUUGAUAGAGUGUAAAGGCCUGGAGACAUUACCGGAAUGGUUGGGACAGUUGACUUCUCUAGAAGAACUUACCAUCAGAGAUUGCCCCAACAUGACAUGUUUGCCUGAAAGCAUACGGUGUCUCUCUGCCUUGAAGCUACUUGAAAUUGCUCGAUGUCCAAGUCUGAUUGCGAGGUGCCAAGGGGAGGAUGCCCACAAGAUCUGUCACAUCCCCAAAGUCGAAUUCUGGCCUUGA
rnacentral:rRNA from 1 species